CCCUUAGAUGUUCUGGGCCGCACGCGCGCUACACUGAUGCAUUCAACGAGCCUAUCCUUGACCGACAGGUCCGGGUAAUCUUUGAAUCUGCAUCGUGACGGGGAUAGAUUAUUGCAAUUAUUAAUCUUCAACGAGGAAUGCCUAGUAGGCGCAAGUCAUCAGCUUGCGUCGAUUACGUCCCUGCCCUUUGUACACACCGCCUGUCGCUCCUACUGAUUGGGUGUGCUGGUGAAAUGUUCGGAUCGGCCGUUUGUCGCGGUUUCCGCGUCAUGUGGCUGAGAAGUUCAUUAAACCCUCCCACCUAGAGGAAGGAGAAGUCGUAACA
rnacentral:rRNA from 1 species